CGUAUAAAGUUCUAGAUAGAAUUAUGAUAAUGACAUUAUCUAUCUAUAAGUCUUGACCAACAUGCGUGCCAGCAGUCGCGGCAAGACGCUAAAGACUAGUGUUAUUCAUCUUUAAUAGGUUUAAAGGGUACCUAGACGGUAAAUCAAGCCUUAACCGGGACUAAUUUAACUAGAGUUAGAUGUAAGGGUGCAUUAACGUACUAUUGAGUGUAGAGAUGAAAUUCUAUGAUACCAGAUGAUUGGCACGGGUUUAGGCGAAAGCAUCACCUUAUGUAAUAACUGACGUUGAGGGACGAAGGCUUUGUGUCGCGAACAGGAUUAGGUACCCCAGUAGUCUUAGCAGAAAAUGAUGAGUGUCAUAGGUUAAAUAUUAUUUAGUCUAUAAAUGAAAGUGUAAGCAUUCCACCUCAAGAGUAAUUUGGCAACAUUGGAAUUGAAAUCAUUAGACCGUUUCUGAAACCAGUAGUGAAGUAUGUUGUUUAAUUAGAUGAUACACAAAAAACCUUACCACAAUUUGAAUAUUUUACAAGCGUUGCACGGCUGUCUUCAGUUAAUGUCGUGAGAUUAUGGUUAGUUCCAUUAAAUUAACGUAAACC
rnacentral:rRNA from 1 species